AAGAUUAGAAAAUAUGAAUGAAUGAAUUUGAGGGGAAAAUUGAUAAAUGUUUUUCCAAGAAACUGAAAUGAAUGAAAUUUAGGUAAGAAUGCGAAUUCGUACAAAUCUCGAUUGAACGAAAAAGAAGAAAAAAAAGUUGUUCUGAUUUAGUUUAAUUCUCUAUCUCUUUUCUAAUCGUGAUUAUCUUUCAUCAUCAUGUUUUAAUCGUUGUUCUUGUUAAUCGGCAUGCGAAUAGCAAACGGAACGACUAAUGGUUCUUUCCGUUUUGAUCGGUUCUGAAACUGGGCUUCAUAUUAAGAAAGCGAUGAGAUCAUGAAGAGAGAAAGAGAGACCUCAAUUGUCUCUCUCUCUCUCUCUCUCUCUCUCUCUCUCUCUCUCUCCCUGUUUCCUGUAAAUGAUUUCGGUUCCUAUCAUAAUGGCCUAAAAUAUCAAUAAUAACAUUAAAAUACAAUUAACUAAUUGUAACAAUUUCACUUUCUCUCUCUUCUUAUUGAUAAUGCUACUAAGGUAAUAAUUAACUAACGCAAUAAGUUUUAAAGAUUAAUUGUCAACAAUUAUUAUUAUUUACAUUAUUGUUAUUAUCAAUGAACAGGAAAAUACAAUUGUGAUGAAUUACAAUUAAGACUAAUUUGAUUUGAUGAAGAAGGAAAGUUCAGUUAAUAAUAAAGGAAAGGUGAUUAAUUUUAAUCAGGUUAACGGAAGUCGUCAAAUUAUUAUUAUAUUAAAGUUUCCUCGCUUGAUCCAAUUAACUAACAGUCGACAUUUCAAUUAUCAUCACAACAACAAGAACGAAGUAAAAAUUAAUUUGAUUUAUGAAAUUAAAUCAAAUCAAAUCAACAGACACAUACAAUGUAUUUGAUUAGCUUUAACAAUUACAAUUUAUCAACAAAAGUUAUAUCAAGAUUUAAAUACCAGUUAAAAGCACUUUCUACAAUCAAUUGAUUGAGAACGACUUAAUUGUUACAAUUUAAGUUUCUUUUUUACUUGAUUGUCUUUGGUGACAAAUGUGACCAAUCAAUUGAUUCAAUUCAAUCCAAUUCAAUUGCUAUUAAAACCAAUAGAAACAUCAAUCAAAUAAGAAACAAAUUUCCAUGAUAAUCAAGACAUUCAUCUUAAUAGUGGCCUUUGACCGGAUGUCCAAUCAAUCGCGAUUAAAACUUUGAUUCAAAAGUUUUUCCUGAAACUUUGAUGACCAGUGAUCAUUGAGGUCACUCUUUCCGUCCUUAAUGUGACCUGGGAUCUUUUUAAUUUGAUUAACAUGUGGUCUUAAUAUUGGAAUUAUUAUUCAAAAGAUUUGGUUAAUUUAUCAUUUGAUUGAGAAGAUUAGUUAACGAUUUUGAUGGAUUCAAGUCCCGAUUUCUAUCAAUGUCCAUGCCAUUGAAAAUUUAACCUUUUUUGGUAAAAGGCGGGAAUCGGUUCUUUAUGGGAAUUUGAUGGUAAAUGAUUAGUUAAUGUAUUUUUAAUUUCUUCAUAAAGCGGCGGUUCCACUCGAUGGGCUAGAAUGAGUCGAUCGAAUUGGAAUUUGAUUCGAUUAUCUUAAUUAAUUUGAACUACUGUUGCUUACGAUCUUACUUGUUGAAUUUGUUGUCAACACAAUUUUCAUUUGAAUCUUCAGUUAGCUUAUUGUUGAGCCGUUGUGAUGUCCAACUGAUGUUUGACCUUCAUUUUCAUAACAAUGAUUAGUUUCAAAAAUAAUCUAAUUGAAAUUAACUUUGUCACUAGAGCGGUGCUGUUAUAAUGGCUUUGUAUUGACGGAAUUUGGACUCAUUAAAAAAUGACAUUGAAUGAGACGAAAAACUUAUUCCUCUCAAGGUCAUAGUCUCUGUGCCCUUUAGAAUCAUCUAACUACCUUAAGGAAAUAUUCUGAGUUGACCUGAAAUCAAAUUCAUCUCAUUGUAACUUUGGUUUCAAAUAACUUCCGUUCCGGAUGAUCAUCAACAAAAUUGAACGAUAUUUUCACGAUUUUCGCGCGAAAUUCAAAAAUUAGAGACUCCUCUCAAUUUGAGUAAACUCUCGGUCCCCAAUAGAUGGCGGAAGUUUUUUCGGUUCCCUGCCAUCUGUUGGAAAUGAUCUACACUUCAACCCACAAAUUUUAUCCACAAAAACGAGCAAAAAAAUGAAAAGAAAACAAAGUUUUUCGAGAAUCAAACCAACAAUACUCAACACCAUCAACCCACUAUCAUACCAUUAAACUAUCACUCAAAUUCUAAUACAAUUAAAUUAAUACUAGUUGAUAAAAUCGGACACUUUCUAUAAAUUAAUCUCUACCGAAAUUAAUUGUAUGGAAAUUUUUCGAAUUUUGAAAAAGGCGCUUCAAAGGUUCCAUUGUUUACCAAUACCAGUUUCCAUGGUAACGGUUGAUUGUUUUUCUUGUUUUCAUUUAUUAAUUUACUUUUUCCACUCACUAAAUGUAAUUAAUUUACUUGCCAAUGAAUUGAGUUAUGUUUUCCCUGUGAUAAUCUAAUUGUAUUCUCAAAUUUGGCCAUACGGUGAUUCAAUUAGUGUCUUAUUAUGGUUUAUAUAAUUACUACUUUACUAUUGAUCCUUUUGAUCAACAUAUUGUUAACCUUUUUUGUCUGGAAACGAUAUGGAAGCAAAUUACAAGCCUUAAUUAACAAGCGAAGUGAUAAAAGUAUAAUUGAUCAACUUCGUAAAGAAGCUGCUAACUAUCAAAGGACCUUAAAAUUGUCAAAAGAACAUGGAUACAAUUAAAGAAUGAUAUAUGUAUACAUUAAUAUAUAUUUAAUCUUCUUUUACACUUCAGUUCCAUCUGAAUGUAUACUCAUCUCUUCAUCAGAUGAUUUCUUGUGUUUCCUUUCCAGUGCUGAUUGAUGGUGGAUUAAAUCAGGACCUAAAGGGAGAAAUGGAAAAAGAGAAAGAAGAAAAAAAGUUAUCCCAAAAUAUUAGAUAAAUGAAUACAAAUAUAAAAGUUAAAGUGAAUCCUAAAUUAUGGUCCAUUAAUGGUUGACUAGAUAAUGAUGAAUAGACAAAAUUUUUAAAAUAGAAAUCAUGUUGACUGAACAAGAACAUGGAUGAUAACAUGGAAAUGUAAUAAGAUGAGGAUGGAGCAAAAAGGAGGACGAAGAAAAAGAAGAAAAAAUAAAAUGUUGAUAAUAAUUCCAACUCCAUAGGAAAAGAAGAUGAUGAUGAAAAAUAGCUGAACAAAGAAGAAAUGAACUUUUCAACCUUUCCCCUGAUUAUGAUGAUAACAGAAAAAUAAAUAACAAGAAUCAAAAGAGAUGAAGAUGAAAAAAAAAGAUGAAA